rnacentral:rRNA from 1 species
UACAGAGGUCCCAAGCGUUGUUCGGAUUCAUUGGGCGUAAAGGGUGCGUAGGUGGCGCCGUCAGUCGGAUGUGAAAUCUCGGGGCUCAACCCCGAAACUGCAUUCGAUACUGCGGUGCUGGAGGACUGGAGAGGAGAUCGGAAUUCACGGUGUAGCAGUGAAAUGCGUAGAUAUCGUGAGGAAGACCAGUGGCGAAGGCGGAUCUCUGGACAGUUCCUGACACUGAGGCACGAAGGCUAGGGGAGCAAACGGG